UACAGGGGGGGCAAGUAUUAUUCUACAUGACUGGGCGUAAAGGAUAUGUAGGUUGUUUUUUAAAUUUUAAAAAAAAUCCUAUAUUAAAAUUAUAGAUUCUUUUAUUAUAUUGUAAAACUUGAGUUUAUAGGAGGUAAUAGAACAUCCAAGAGUAAAUGUGAAAUGUUUUGAGACUUGGAGGAAUUCCAUAUAGCGAAAGCGAUUACCUUGUUAAAACUGACACUGAAAUAUGAAGGUGUGGGGAGCAAACAGG
rnacentral:rRNA from 1 species